rnacentral:rRNA from 1 species
AUGCAAGUACCUUUUUCUAGGAGGUUUAAGAACUUGUAUAAGCACCUGUAUUCUCUGCAAUGCAAAAUUCCAACCCUACAGCCCUUGAACAAUGAACAAGGAAAUUUCGGAGUCCUUGUUUCACUGCCUCCGAGGACGUGGGAGCCACCACCACCGUUGCUUACUUCCACAACUAAAAGUCCUAGGUAUCUGUUCUCGCUCCCUAUAAGUUGCCGUUUUCAUAUCAUGAUUAUGUUUUCCAAUAAGAUUGGCAGAAAAAGAUUAUCGUUUGCAAUGUUUUUUCAAGGAAAAGCUCCCUCGAGGGACAUUUCUUGUGAGCAACAUAUUACAUUUGAGUACAUGUCACUGCUAAAAACAUGA